rnacentral:rRNA from 1 species
GAUGAACGCUGGCGGCGUGCCUAAUACAUGCAAGUCGAGCGAAUGGAUUAAGAGCUUGCUCUUAUGAAGUUAGCGGCGGACGAGUGAGUAACACGUGGGUAACCUGCCCAUAAGACUGGGAUAACUCCGGGAAACCGGGGCUAAUACCGGAUAACAUUUUGAACCGCAUGGUUCGAAAUUGAAAGGCGGCUUCGGCUGUCACUUAUGGAUGGACCCGCCUCGCAUUAGCUAGUUGGUGAGGUAACGGCUCACCAAGGCAACGAUGCGUAGCCGACCUGAGAGGGUGAUCGGCCACACUGGGACUGAGACACGGCCCAGACUCCUACGGGAGGCAGCAGUAGGGAAUCUUCCGCAAUGGACGAAAGUCUGACGGAGCAACGCCGCGUGAGUGAUGAAGACUUUCGGGUCGUAAAACUCUGUUGUUAGGGAAGAACAAGUGCUAGUUGAAUAAGCUGGCACCCUGACGGUACCUAACCAGAAAGCCACGGCUAACUACGUGCCAGCCGCCGCGGUAA